CUGAUAUAAUACCGGAAUCACGGAAACAGUUCUGAUAUUUUUACAAAAUAGAGCGGUUCUCACCAAUCAGAACGUGGGAGCAAAACCGUUCUAUUAUUUCUCUCCAUUCAGAAAAAUAGUGCAGCAGUUUCGCAACAAUCAUCAAAGUCUUCAGUUUUUAUACUCCAUAUUUUCUCCUUUCGAUGCACAAUCGUUCAAAAACUCUUAAAAUCCUCUCUGUAUAAGUUCUUCAAGCAAUCAAGAUUCAAGGGUGCGGUUAGGUGUCGGGAUUUCUGUAAGGUGCGGCGCAAUUAGGAUCUCUAUCCCCGAGUUAAGCAUUAGUCAAGUUACUACCAAGGAUUUGAGGCGAGGAGCAAGGAGAUGCGUGAUGGAUGUGUGUGGUGCUUAGGAUAUUUUAAACAUGCUUUCUAUAGUAUUAUUAAAGACUCUUCGUUGGUUAAGAAAAUUUAGGAUUUGAAGUUUAGUUUAUUUUGAUGGUAAGGUGUAAGAGUUUCUAGUGAAUCAUAUUUGACUUUCUUAUAUAAUGUUAGGUACUUUGAUAAAUUAGUGUUAUGUUUUCUAUCUAAUGUGUAUGGUAUUUUUCUAAAAAUGAUAUUUGGUCGAUUUACUUUUGAUUAUUAGGUUCUCUACAGGGUUUUGAAAUUAGAUUAUUUGAGUUUGUUAAUAUUUUUACGAAAAUACUAUAUGA